GUGUCUGGCGGCGUGCUAUACAUGCAAGUCGAGCGAACAGAUAAGGAGCUUGCUCCUUUGACGUUAGCGGCGGACGGGUGAGUAACACGUGGAUAACCUACCUAUAAGACUGGGAUAACUUCGGGAAACCGGAGCUAAUACCGGAUAAGAUUUUGAACCGCAUGGUUCAAUAGUGAAAGACGGCCUUGCUGUCACUUAUAGAUGGAUCCGCGCCGUAUUAGCUAGUUGGUAAGGUAACGGCUUACCAAGGCAACGAUACGUAGCCGACCUGAGAGGGUGAUCGGCCACACUGGAACUGAGACACGGUCCAGACUCCUACGGGAGGCAGCAGUAGGGAAUCUUCCGCAAUGGGCGAAAGCCUGACGGAGCAACGCCGCGUGAGUGAUGAAGGUCUUCGGAUCGUAAAACUCUGUUAUCAGGGAAGAACAAACGUGUAAGUAACUGUGCACGUCUUGACGGUACCUGAUCAGAAAGCCACGGCUAACUACGUGCCAGCAGCCGCGGUAAUACGUAGGUGGCAAGCGUUAUCCGGAAUUAUUGGGCGUAAAGCGCGCGUAGGCGGUUUUUUAAGUCUGAUGUGAAAGCCCACGGCUCAACCGUGGAGGGUCAUUGGAAACUGGAAAACUUGAGUGCAGAAGAGGAAAGUGGAAUUUCCAUGUGUAGCGGUGAAAUGCGCAGAGAUAUGGAGGAACACCAGUGGCGAAGGCGACUUUCUGGUCUGUAACUGACGCUGAUGUGCGAAAGCGUGGGGAUCAAACAGGAUUACAUACCCUGGUAGUCCACGCCGUAAACGAUGAGUGCUA
rnacentral:rRNA from 1 species